GGCUGGUUGAGUGGAGUAGUAUUUACAGCUAAUUGAUCACAACAAGUUACAGAUUCCUUUGUUCCUCCUCCACUCCCCCUCCUACACUUAACUAGAUUUAA
rnacentral:Y_RNA from 1 species